rnacentral:rRNA from 1 species
GAUGAACGCUGGCGGCGUGCCUAAUACAUGCAAGUCGAGCGAAGCGGCGACGGUUGAGUAACACUUGGAUAACCUCCUAUACGACUGGGUUAACUUCGGGCAACCGGAGCUAAACCGGAUACUUAUAGAUGGAUCCACGCUGCAUUAGCUAGUUGGUAAGGUAACGGCUUACCAAGGCAACGAUCCAUAGCCGACCUGAGAGGGUGAUCAGCAAAGCUGGAAAGACGACACGGUCCAGAAUCCUAAGGGAGGGAGCAGAAGGGAAUGUUCCGGAAGGGGCGGAAGCCUGACGUAACAAAGCCGCGGGAGUGAUGAAGGUCUGCGGAUCGUAAGACUCUGUUAUUAGGGAAGCGGUACCGAAUCAGAAAGCCACGGCUAACUACGUGCCAGCAGCCGCGGUAAGUC